UUAAGUGAAUAAGGGCGCACGGUGGAUGCCUUGGCACUAGGAGCCGAUGAAGGACGGGACUAACACCGAUAUGCUUUGGGGAGCUGUAAGUAAGCUAUGAUCCAGAGAUUUCCGAAUGGGGGAACCCAAUAUCUUUUAUAGGAUAUUACUUUUCAGUGAAUACAUAGCUGAUUAGAGGUAGACGCAGAGAACUGAAACAUCUUAGUACCUGCAGGAAGAGAAAGAAAAUUCGAUUCCCUGAGUAGCGGCGAGCGAAACGGGAAGAGCCCAAACCAACAAGCUUGCUUGUUGGGGUUGUAGGACUCCAAUAUGGUAGUCUGUUAGUAUAGUUGAAGGAUUUGGAAAAUUCCGCUAAAGAGGGUGAAAGCCCCGUAGACGAAAUGCUGACAACACCUAGGAGGAUCCUGAGUACGGCGGAACACGAGAAAUUCCGUCGGAAUCCGCGGGGACCAUCCCGCAAGGCUAAAUACUCCCUAGUGACCGAUAGUGAACCAGUACCGUGAGGGAAAGGUGAAAAGCACCCCGGAAGGGGAGUGAAAUAGAUCCUGAAACCGUGUGCCUACAACAAGUCAAAGCUCGUUAAUGAGUGAUGGCGUGCCUUUUGUAGAAUGAACCGGCGAGUUACGAUUGCAUGCGAGGUUAAGUCGAAGAGACGGAGCCGCAGCGAAAGCGAGUCUGAAUAGGGCGAAUAAGUAUGUAGUCGUAGACCCGAAACCAUGUGAUCUACCCAUGUCCAGGUUGAAGGUGCGGUAAAACGCACUGGAGGACCGAACCCACGUACGUUGAAAAGUGCGGGGAUGAGGUGUGGGUAGCGGAGAAAUUCCAAACGAACUUGGAGAUAGCUGGUUCUCUCCGAAAUAGCUUUAGGGCUAGCCUCGGAAUUGAGAAUGAUGGAGGUAGAGCACUGUUUGGACUAGGGGCCCAUCUCGGGUUACCGAAUUCAGAUAAACUCCGAAUGCCAUUCAUUUAUAUCCGGGAGUCAGACUGCGAGUGAUAAGAUCCGUAGUCGAAAGGGAAACAGCCCAGACCACCAGCUAAGGUCCCAAAAUAUAUGUUAAGUGGAAAAGGAUGUGGGGUUGCACAGACAACUAGGAUGUUGGCUUAGAAGCAGCCACCAUUUAAAGAGUGCGUAAUAGCUCACUAGUCGAGUGACCCUGCGCCGAAAAUGUACCGGGGCUAAACAUAUUACCGAAGCUGUGGACUACACCAUUAGGUGUAGUGGUAGGAGAGCGUUCUAAGGGCGUUGAAGGUCGAUCGUGAGGACGGCUGGAGCGCUUAGAAGUGAGAAUGCCGGUAUGAGUAGCGAAAGACAGGUGAGAAUCCUGUCCACCGUAUGACUAAGGUUUCCUGGGGAAGGCUCGUCCGCCCAGGGUUAGUCGGGACCUAAGCCGAGGCCGAUAGGCGUAGGCGAUGGACAACAGGUUGAUAUUCCUGUACCAGUUGUUUUUGUUUGAGCAAUGGAGGGACGCAGUAGGCUAAGGAAUGCAUGCGAUUGGAAGUGCAUGUCCAAGCAAUGAGUCUUGAGUAGAGUUAAAUGCUUUACUCUCUAAGGACAAGUUGUGACGGGGAGCGAAAUAAUAGUAGCGAAGUUCCUGAUGUCACACUGCCAAGAAAAGCUUCUAGUGAGAAAACAACUGCCCGUACCGUAAACCGACACAGGUAGUCGAGGAGAGUAUCCUAAGGUGAGCGAGCGAACUCUCGUUAAGGAACUCGGCAAAAUGACCCCGUAACUUCGGGAGAAGGGGUGCUGACUUCGGUCAGCCGCAGUGAAUAGGCCCAAGCGACUGUUUAUCAAAAACACAGGUCUCUGCAAAAUCGUAAGAUGAAGUAUAGGGGCUGACGCCUGCCCGGUGCUGGAAGGUUAAGAGGAUGGGUUAGCUUCGGCGAAGCUCAGAAUUGAAGCCCCAGUAAACGGCGGCCGUAACUAUAACGGUCCUAAGGUAGCGAAAUUCCUUGUCGGGUAAGUUCCGACCCGCACGAAAGGCGUAACGAUUUGGGCACUGUCUCAACGAGAGACUCGGUGAAAUUUUAGUACCUGUGAAGAUGCAGGUUACCCGCGACAGGACGGAAAGACCCCAUGGAGCUUUACUGUAGUUUGAUAUUGAGUGUUUGUACCACAUGUACAGGAUAGGUAGGAGCCGAUGAGACCGGAACGCUAGUUUCGGAGGAGGCGCUGGUGGGAUACUACCCUUGUGUUAUGAACCCUCUAACCCGCACCACUAAUCGUGGUGGGAGACAGUGUCAGAUGGGCAGUUUGACUGGGGCGGUCGCCUCCUAAAAGGUAACGGAGGCGCCCAAAGGUUCCCUCAGAAUGGUUGGAAAUCAUUCGAAGAGUGUAAAGGCAGAAGGGAGCUUGACUGCGAGACCUACAAGUCGAGCAGGGACGAAAGUCGGGCUUAGUGAUCCGGUGGUUCCGCAUGGAAGGGCCAUCGCUCAACGGAUAAAAGCUACCCUGGGGAUAACAGGCUUAUCUCCCCCAAGAGUCCACAUCGACGGGGAGGUUUGGCACCUCGAUGUCGGCUCGUCGCAUCCUGGGGCUGAAGUAGGUCCCAAGGGUUGGGCUGUUCGCCCAUUAAAGCGG
rnacentral:rRNA from 1 species